rnacentral:rRNA from 1 species
AAGUCAGAUGUGAAAUCCCCGGGCUUAACCUGGGAACUGCAUCUGAAACUGUUAGGCUAGAGUAGGUGAGAGGGAAGUAGAAUUUCAGGUGUAGCGGUGAAAUGCGUAGAGAUCUGAAGGAAUACCGAUGGCGAAGGCAGCUUCCUGGCAUCAUACUGACACUGAGGCUCGAAAGCGUGGGUAGCAAACAGGAUUAGAUACCCUGGUAGUCCACGCCGUAAACGAUGUCUACUAGUCGUUGGGUCCCUUGAGGACUUAGUGACGCAGCUAACGCAAUAAGUAGACCGCCUGGGGAGUACGGCCGCAAGGUUAAAACUCAAAUGAAUUGACGG